rnacentral:rRNA from 1 species
UACGAAGGGGGCUAGCGUUGCUCGGAAUCACUGGGCGUAAAGGGUGCGUAGGCGGGCCUUUAAGUCAGGGGUGAAAUCCUGGAGCUCAACUCCAGAACUGCCUUUGAUACUGAGGAUCUUGAGUUCGGGAGAGGUGAGUGGAACUGCGAGUGUAGAGGUGAAAUUCGUAGAUAUUCGCAAGAACACCAGUGGCGAAGGCGGCUCACUGGCUCGGUACUGACGCUGAGGUGCGAAAGCGUGGGGAGCAAACAGG